UACGUAGGGGGCAAGCGUUGUCCGGAAUCACUGGGCGUAAAGGGUGCGUAGGCGGGUCUUUAAGUCAGGGGUGAAAUCCUGGAGCUCAACUCCAGAACUGCCUUUGAUACUGAGGAUCUUGAGUUCGGGAGAGGUGAGUGGAACUGCGAGUGUAGAGGUGAAAUUCGUAGAUAUUCGCAAGAACACCAGCGGCGAAGGCGGCAUCCUGGCCCUGUACUGACGCUGAGGCGCGAUAGCGUGGGGAGCAAACGGG
rnacentral:rRNA from 1 species